UGCAAGUCGAACGAUGAACCCCGCUUGCGGGGGGAUUAGUGGCGAACGGGUGAGUAACACGUGAGUAACCUGCCCUUAACUCUGGGAUAAGCCUUGGAAACGGGGUCUAAUACUGGAUAUUGACUUUUCCUCGCAUGGGGAUUGGUUGAAAGAUUUAUUGGUUUUGGAUGGACUCGCGGCCUAUCAGCUUGUUGGUGAGGUAAUGGCUCACCAAGGCGACGACGGGUAGCCGGCCUGAGAGGGUGACCGGCCACACUGGGACUGAGACACGGCCCAGACUCCUACGGGAGGCAGCAGUGGGGAAUAUUGCACAAUGGGCGAAAGCCUGAUGCAGCGACGCCGCGUGAGGGAUGACGGCCUUCGGGUUGUAAACCUCUUUCAGUAGGGAACAAGGCCAGUGUUUAGCUGGUUGAGGGUACUUGCAGAAGAAGCGCCGGCUAACUACGUGCCAGCAGCCGCGGUAAUACGUAGGGCGCAAGCGUUAUCCGGAAUUAUUGGGCGUAAAGAGCUCGUAGGCGGUUUGUCGCGUCUGCCGUGAAAGUCCGGGGCUCAACCCCGGAUCUGCGGUGGGUACGGGCAGACUAGAGUGAUGUAGGGGAGACUGGAAUUCCUGGUGUAGCGGUGAAAUGCGCAGAUAUCAGGAGGAACACCGAUGGCGAAGGCAGGUCUCUGGGCAUUAACUGACGCUGAGGAGCGAAAGCAUGGGGAGCGAACAGGAUUAGAUACCCUGGUAGUCCAUGCCGUAAACGUUGGGCACUAGGUGUGGGGGA
rnacentral:rRNA from 1 species